AUAGAUACCCUGGUAGUCCACGCCGUAAACGAUGAGUGCUAAGUGUUAGAGGGUUUCCGCCCUUUAGUGCUGCAGCAAACGCAUUAAGCACUCCGCCUGGGGAGUACGGUCGCAAGACUGAAACUCAAAGGAAUUGACGGGGGCCCGCACAAGCGGUGGAGCAUGUGGUUUAAUUCGAAGCAACGCGAAGAACCUUACCAGGUCUUGACAUCCUUCGCUACUUCUAGAGAUAGAAGGUUCCCCUUCGGGGGACGGAGUGACAGGUGGUGCAUGGUUGUCGUCAGCUCGUGUCGUGAGAUGUUGGGUUAAGUCCCGCAACGAGCGCAACCCUUGACCUUAGUUGCCAGCAUUCAGUUGGGCACUCUAAGGUGACUGCCGGUGACAAACCGGAGGAAGGUGGGGAUGACGUCAAAUCAUCACGCCCCUUAUGACCUGGGCUACACACGUGCUACAAUGGAUGGUACAAAGGGCUGCAAGACUGCGAAGUCAAGCCAAUCCCAUAAAACCAUUCUCAGUUCGGAUUGC
rnacentral:rRNA from 1 species